rnacentral:rRNA from 1 species
CGUUAAUCGGAAUUACUGGGCGUAAAGCGCGCGUAGGCGGUUGUGUAAGUUGGAUGUGAAAUCCCCGGGCUUAACCUGGGAAUGGCAUUCAAAACUGCACGGCUAGAGUGUGGGAGAGGAAGGUAGAAUUCCAGGUGUAGCGGUGAAAUGCGUAGAGAUCUGGAGGAAUGCCGAUGGCGAAGGCAGCCUUCUGGCCUAACACUGACGCUGAGGUGCGAAAGCAUGGGGAGCAAACAGG